rnacentral:rRNA from 1 species
UACGUAGGGUGCGAGCGUUAAUCAGAAUUACUGGGCGUAAAGCGUGCGCAGGCGGUCUGUUAAGACAGAUGUGAAAUCCCCGGGCUUAACCUGGGAACUGCAUUUGUGACUGGCAGGCUAGAGUAUGGCAGAGGGGGGUAGAAUUCCACGUGUAGCAGUGAAAUGCGUAGAGAUGUGGAGGAAUACCGAUGGCGAAGGCAGCCCCCUGGGCCAAUACUGACGCUCAUGCACGAAAGCGUGGGGAGCAAACAGG